AUUGAACGCUGGCGGCAGGCCUAACACAUGCAAGUCGAACGAGUGGCGGACGGGUGAGUAAUGUCUGGGAAACUGCCUGCUGGAGGGGGAUAACUACUGGAACCGGUAGCUAAUACCGCAUACCAUCGGAUGUGCCCAGAUGGGAUUAGCUAGUAGGUGGGGUAAAGGCUGACCUAGGCGACGAUCCCUAGCUGGUCCGAGAGGAUGACCAGCCAAACUGGAACUGAGACACGGUCCAGAGUCCUACGGGAGGCGGCAGGGGGGAAUAUGGCACAAUGGGCGCAAGCCUGAUGCAGCAAUGCCGCGUGUAUGAAGAAGGCCGUCGGGUUGUAAAGUGCUUUCAGCGGGGGGGCGUUACCCGCAGAAGAAGCACCGGCUAACUCCGUGCCAGCAGCCGCGGUAAUAC
rnacentral:rRNA from 1 species